UACAGGGGGGGCAAGCGUUGUUCGGAAUUACUGGGCGUAAAGGGCUCGUAGGUGGCCAACUAAGUCAGACGUGAAAUCCCUCGGCUUAACCGGGGAACUGCGUCUGAUACUGGAUGGCUUGAGGUUGGGAGAGGGAUGCGGAAUUCCAGGUGUAGCGGUGAAAUGCGUAGAUAUCUGGAGGAACACCGGUGGCGAAGGCGGCAUCCUGGACCAAUUCUGACACUGAGGAGCGAAAGCCAGGGGAGCAAACGGG
rnacentral:rRNA from 1 species